ensembl:lncRNA
GUGUUCUUCACUUCAUGAUGGAAGGGCUACUGACCCAGAGUGGAAAGUUUAGCUGGUGUUUUGAUCAGGAUUUCUUACCUUUUUCUUCAUUAGAGAGAUUCUUCUUGCUGCUGUCCUGCUUCAGAGCUGCAAGGAACACUUGGGAAUGACUAAAGCGGUGUCUGUGCUGGAGUCAGAGGAGUGGCAGAGCAGGAGGCACAUCUGUCUGUCGCCUUGCCUGCUGAACAACAAAGGCAGUGCUUCAUAGCAGCGUGGCUUUUGGAUAGGUAGCCCAAAAAAAGCAACCGUGAUCAGAAAUCUGGGUCGUUGUGCUUCCCCUGAGCAAGCAAAGUUAAAGAUAGCUUGGGAGACGUUUGCUGCUUCUCCUGCCUAUUCCUGCUGACAUCCGUGGGGAUUUGCUGGCAUAGUGAGCUACAGGCUGGUGCACUUCAGAAGAAAAGACUCUUCAUCAUCCGUUCCCCAGCUAGUAUCCUGGGUGGCUCUCUUCUGCUGUGUUUCUCCACCAGUUGUGGUGCCCUACAGUGUGUAACAAUUCUUGUGGCUUCCAAGUAAUUAUUUUCAAACGCAUAUGAAGUAACUGAAACUGUCUUGUAAGAAGAAAAAGAAGUUCCAUGAAAUCUGAUGCUGUGUUUAGAGGAUGUUGGUGUGUUCUCAGCAGGUGCGCUUUGCCUACAUGUGGAUCCUCAGGGUGGAGUUUUUAAUUGUUAAAUGAUAUAUGACGAAUCAAAUAGCACGUACAAAAGACAAAGGAAAAGAAGACGAGAAGGUAGAAAAUGGGAAUUCAGGGACUGGUAAAUGUUCUGCACACCAACUCACAGAGUGCAUUUCUAGUUUGAAUGCCAGUGCCUUGCAUCAGCUGGAAGAAUAAGUUGAUAGCUUCCUGAUGCUGCUGUUCAUUUGCUUUUUAUUUGAGUCUGUUUUCACAUGGAUUAUAAAGUACUGCAAUCCUUUUCCUGUAAGCCUGAAUGCAGAAUUACAUCACUUGUUUGUAUGCAGUACAUAGAGCUAAAGUCUCCUGGGAAAUGACAAGUCGUUAGCCUGACUACUUAAUCAUACUGUGAUAUGAAGAAAAAUAUUUGUAACUUCACAGUCUGCCAUAGAACAUCUUCAUGCUUUAUAAUGGUGUGCUCCAAAUGAGAAACUGCUUAACCUUGCUUUGCAGUUCUCUCAUUGUUCUGGAAUUGUUGUUUGAGCAAUGAAACUUAAUUUGCAGUGCAGAACUAUUUUAAUAAUAAAGAACACUUGAUUUCAU